GCGAAGGUGGCGGAAUUGGUAGACGCGCUAGCUUCAGGUGUUAGUGUCCUUAGGAUGUGGGGCUUCGAGUCCCCCCCCUCGCACCA
rnacentral:tRNA from 1 species